rnacentral:lncRNA from 15 species
AUUUUGAGGAGGCACUGACUCAGCCCAGGGGCAAACAACCUCCUCAGGAGCAGCCAAGGCUGAUGAAUCAGGUGAUCAAAAACCAUAUAUAUUUAAUUUCUAGUCAAAUUAUCUCAUUAAGAUAUACUAAUAUAAGAUAUAAUCAUAUGACAAGGGACAUGUUUUUCAUUUCAGGUCCAUCUCUAUCCUCUGCUCCAUCCACUGUGCCCACUGUCCUCUCUGCAACCUCAGCUGUACCUGGUCCUUCAUCUUUGGUCAUCGAGAUUGAUGUGUCUUCUUCAGCAUCCAGUUUGGAGCAGGGAUCAGCAGCUCCGCCAGUUGACUCAGCUGAGUGUCCCUCUUUCCUGUCAGACUCAGAAAGGACUGAACAGGUAUUAAGAGGGCCACUGCCUAUAAAGGACACAUUCACAUUCCUAAAAAGACACGAUGGCCAAAGCUUCCACCAUCAUUACACAUACAGACACCUAGUAAAUGGGGGGAAAAAGUAAAGCAGAGCUGGCUCACAUAUUCAAAAAGUAAAGAUGUGGUCUAUUGCUUUUGCUGCAAAUUAUAUUUACCAUUUUUGUUACCUUGUUUUAGGUGCCUGUUGAUUUACAUCAUUAUUUAAGUAUUGUCUGAUAUUUUUUAAAUUAAUUUUAUUUAAUACUGUCUGGUUUUGUACAUUUGGUGUUGCAGUUUAUUAAAAAAAAUAAUAAUAAAGCAGAUUGUGUUAACAGUAAACGAUUAGUUUAUUUUGUUACUUUUAAUUGGCCUAGAUGACAUUCGGUAUCCCACUUAGUACUAUAUCACUUUGAAUAUUAAGUGUUAAUCAACCCCAGGCUGCUCUUGUAGCUGAAUUUGCUGCCAUUUCAGAUUUAAAAACCAUAGAUGGGUAAAACAUGUCGGGCUGCUCUUUGAGGUUUUAUGUAUUGAUUCUCUGUGUGGCCUGUAGGGAGAGUUGCUGACUUUGCUAAAUAUUAAUUGAAAGAUUUUUCUGUAAAUUUGCAAAUCUGGUGUCUGCUUUCAUGGCAUUAAUUACUGUGGAUUACAAUCUAACUACAACAAAAAGUUCUCACAUUUAGUUUUACAAGUGUAUUCGUAAUGACAGAGUAGAAUACAUAGAAUACGUUUAUAGUAGGUGUGUGAAUGAUCAAUAAUCAUUAUUAUUGGUAGUAAUAGAGGGCCCCAAAAUCAAAUUUUGCUUAGGGCCCCAUGGAGGCUUGGGCCGGCCCUGCCCAAAAGGCAACUAAAAGUCAGAAAAGGAAGUCAGAAAAGCAGGAAGUCCUGUUAACAGGAAAAAUCCCAUUCUGAAAACAAAUAUGCAACUGUAAGGGUUUCAAAUUGAUUGUCAUGUCAAUAUUUAUUAAAUUCCCCAAAUGUCAAAUAUUUGAGUCUUGAAAUAUAAGAAAAGUGCAAUAAAUGUAAACAUCUUACACACACACACUAUCAAUAAAACAGUGUGCAUCUGAACAGCACAAAUCAAGUACACUGGCUCUUGUAGUAUCAACAAAUCAAGGUUUUAAAAUGUCAAUUAUCUGAAAUAUAAGAAAAGUGCAAUAACUGUAAACAUCUUACACACGCACACGCACACACACACACACACACACACACACACACACACUUGGUAAUCCCUUUAGCUUUCACGUUGUCUGCCUGGAGUUUAACUUGUUUUUGGAAUGACUCUAGAAGUGAUUCCUGACAGCUCGCCUAAAAAAUCCUCGUGCUGUUUCGUGUGGUUAAGUGUUUGAUUGCAUUCGUAGUGUUGUAUGACGGGAGGGAGCUUCCGCGUCUCUGAAUUACGGCUUUGCAAACAUUGCAUUUUGAUGUCUUGCUCUGCAGUGUUUCCAGUGUAAAGUAUUUCCACACAGCGGACAUGUUGGCUAGCCACAAUGCUGGUCAAUGCUAUCCUGCUAGCUGGCUGCAAACUGCGGAAUGGAUUUCCUGAACGGGGGCGUGUCUCAUAACUCUGUGUCUC